rnacentral:sRNA from 1 species
ACUGGGAUUGGUGACUCAUAUCUGUAAUCCUAGCUACUUGGGAGGCUGAGGCAGGAGGAUCACUUGAGCCCACCAGUUCAAGACCAUCCUGGGCAACAUAGUGAGACUAUGUGUCAA